CGACCCCAGUCAGGCGGGC
rnacentral:rRNA from 1 species